AGAAAACUGAGCUGCAACUCACCGGGUGGACAGUUAGCUAACUCAAACAUGGAUAUUAAACAUGUGGUCUCCCUGAACACAAGAAGAAACACCUUCAUCUGAACACUGAUGGUGAGGACAGAUUUGCCAAACGCUGCUGCAGGAUUGAAUCUCUGCAGGGAUGGUGGGAGUGGUCGGAAAUUCUAAGUGCGCAGUCUUCCCGUGACCGGCUUUGCUGACGUUUGGUUGGACUGGCGUGACAUUUGGUGCAGAUAUCCGUGAAGCCCAGAGGAAGAAUCUCACUGACUUGCUGUGAUCCUCUGACGUUUCGUCGCGUCCCCUCAUCAGGUCCAGGGAAGCCGUCCAAUCCUGGCUGUCCAUCCCUUCCUACAGAACCUUCACUGCCCUUCUGACCCGGCAAACCAGGAAGCCCAGGUUUACCCUGCAGAGAACUUGUCAAAUGACAGCAGAGAGGAGUAGCAAGGAGAAGCCUACUGCCAACAACAAACCUGGAUGUUUAAUAAAUAAAUCAGAAUACAUGAGGGAGGCCCAAAGAGUCGCGUCAGCCCCAGAGACCAAGUGUCAGUCCCAGGAAGUCCGUUGCCGAAGCCUCCACCCGAGCCCUCCAUGUCGUCCUUCAAACACCAACAAAGAUUUCAUGUCAAACAGCCAAAUUACUGCCAUAAAAAUGAGCAUUUUAUUUUACUUUUACUCUCUAAAACAUGUU